rnacentral:rRNA from 1 species
GAUGAACGCUGGCGGCGCGCCUAACACAUGCAAGUCGAACGGUUAAAGCACCUUCGGGUGUGUAUAAAGUGGCGAACGGCUGAGUAACACGUGGGCAACCUGCCCCUCGCACCGGGAUAGCCUCGGGAAACCGUGGUUAAUACCGGAUACUCCGGGACCCCCGCAUGGGGGUGCCGGGAAAGCCCUGACGGCGAGGGAUGGGCCCGCGGCCUGUUAGCUUGUUGGCGGGGUAACGGCCCACCAAGGCGAUUAUGGGUAGCCGGGUUGAGAGACCGACCGGCCAGAUUGGGACUGAGACACGGCCCAGACUCCUACGGGAGGCAGCAGUGGGGAAUCUUGCACAAUGGGCGAAAGCCUGAUGCAGCGACGCCGCGUGCGGGACGAAGGCCUUCGGGUUGUAAACCGCUUUCAGCAGGGACGAGGCCGCAAGGUGACGGUACCUGCAGAAGAAGCCCCGGCUAACUACGUG